GAUGAACGCUAGCGGCAGGCUUAACACAUGCAAGUCGAACGGCAGCACAGGUAGCAAUACUGGGUGGCGAGUGGCGCACGGGUGCGUAACGCGUAUGCAACCUACCUCUAUCUGGGAGAUAGCCCGAAGAAAUUCGGAUUAAUACCCCAUAAUAUAUGUCUUUCGCAUGUUAGACAUAUUAAAGCUUUGGCGGAUAGAGAUGGGCAUGCGUGACAUUAGCUAGUUGGCGAGGUAACGGCUCACCAAGGCGAAGACGGGUAGCUGGUCUGAGAGGAUGAUCAGCCACACUGGAACUGAGACACGGUCCAGACUCCUACGGGAGGCAGCAGUGGGGAAUAUUGCGCAAUGGGCGAAAGCCUGACGCAGCCACGCCGCGUGAGCGAUGAAGGCCUCGGUCGUAAGCUCUGUGGGAGAGAAGAA
rnacentral:rRNA from 1 species